rnacentral:rRNA from 1 species
UACGUAGGGUGCGAGCGUUAAUCGGAAUUACUGGGCGUAAAGCGUGCGCAGGCGGUUGGGCAAGACAGAUGUGAAAUCCCCGGGCUUAACCUGGGAAUUGCAUUUGUGACUGCACGGCUAGAGUGUGUCAGAGGGAGGUAGAAUUCCACGUGUAGCAGUGAAAUGCGUAGAUAUGUGGAGGAAUACCGAUGGCGAAGGCAGCCUCCUGGGAUAACACUGACGCUCAUGCACGAAAGCGUGGGGAGCAAACAGG